rnacentral:rRNA from 1 species
GCCCUUAGUUGCCAGCAUUUAGUUGGGCACUCUAAGGGGACGUGCCGGUGAUAAGCCGAGAGGAAGGUGGGGAGUGACGUCAAGUCCUCAUGGCCCUUACGGGCUGGGCUACACACGUGCUACAAUGGUGGUGACAGUGGGCAGCGAGCACGCGAGUGUGAGCUAAUCUCCAAAAGCCAUCUCAGUUCGGAUUGCACUCUGCAACUCGAGUGCAUGAAGUUGGAAUCGCUAGUAAUCGCGGAUCAGCAUGCCGCGGUGAAUACGUUCCCGGGCCUU